rnacentral:rRNA from 1 species
UACGUAGGGGGCAAGCGUUGUCCGGAUUUACUGGGCGUAAAGAGCGCGCAGGCGGUCGUUCAAGUCGAGUGUGAAAGCCCCCGGCUCAACUGGGGAGGGUCACUCGAUACUGAUCGACUCGAAGGCAGGAGAGGGAAGCGGAAUUCCCGGUGUAGUGGUGAAAUGCGUAGAUAUCGGGAGGAACACCAGUGGCGAAGGCGGCUUUCUGGCCUGUUCUUGACGCUGAGGCGCGAAAGCUAGGGUAGCAAACGGG